UGGAAAGCCCCGUGUUGUGGUCUGACCCCCGACCCCGACCGCAACGCGGGGCAAUCCG
rfam:Mycobacterium ulcerans str. Harvey Harvey.contig.86, whole genome shotgun sequence.